UACGGAGGGUGCGAGCGUUGUCCGGAAUCACUGGGCGUAAAGGGCGCGUAGGCGGCUCAUGAAGGCUGUGGUGAAAGUCCGGGGCUCAACCUCGGAUCGGCCGUGGCGACUCGUGGGCUGGAGCACUGUAGAGGCGGGUGGAAUUCCGGGUGUAGCGGUGGAAUGCGUAGAGAUCGGGAAGAACACCAGUGGCGAAGGCGGCCGGCUGGGGGGCGCCCUGACGCUGAGGCGCGAGAGCGUGGGGAGCAAACCGG
rnacentral:rRNA from 1 species